rnacentral:rRNA from 1 species
AACGAACGCUGGCGGCAUGCCUAACACAUGCAAGUCGAACGAAACCUUCGGGCCUUGUGGCGCUCGGGUGCGUACCGCGUGGUAACCUGCCCUUAGGUUCGGAAUACCUCCCUGAAAGGGGUCUUAAUACCGGUUAAUCUCUUCCGACCAAGGAUCUAUGGCUUUUGGAUGGGCCCGGGUUGGAUUAGGCGGUUGGUAGGGUACAAGCCUAUCAUGGCCAUGAUCCAGAGCUGGUAUGAGAAGAUGAUCUGCCACACUGGGACUGAGACACGGCCCAGAAUGCGACGGGAGGGAGCAGAAGGGAAUAUUAGACGAGGGGGGAAGGUCUAGUCCAGCAGUGCGGGGGAAGUGAGGAAGGGCUUAGGGUUGUAAAGCUCUUUUAGCCGAGAUGAUAGUGACGGUACCGGGAGAAUAAGCUCCGGCUAACUACGUG